UACGUAGGGUGCGAGCGUUAAUCGGAAUGACUGGGCGUAAAGGGUGCGUAGGCGGUUUGCUAAGACGGAUGUGAAAUCCCUGGGCUCAACCUAGGAACAGCAUACGUGACUGCCAGGCUAGAGUAUCGAAGAGGGGGGUAGAAUUCCACGUGUAGCAGUGAAAUGCGUAGAGAUGUGGAGGAAUACCGAUGGCGAAGGCAGCCCCCUGGUCAGAUACUGACGCUGAGGCACGAAAGCGUGGGGAGCAAACAGG
rnacentral:rRNA from 1 species